UAGGGAGACCAUCUGAAGACAGACCGAACCUAAACAAUCAAGGUCUAGAAGCAGUCAUCCCUGGUCGUUCGAGAUAAUAGAGUCAGAGCUUUCAAACUAUUAACAGGUUCAGGUAACGGGCUAUUAGCUCAGUUGGUUAGAGCGCACCCCUGAUAAGGGUGAGGUCCCUGGUUCAAAUCCAGGAUGGCCCACCUGGAAACAAGUGAUGAAAUUUCAGUGCUGGGUGAAGGAAGCAAAAAUCCCCAAGGCAGCAUAGAAAAAUCACGCACUAGCUUAGUGGGGGUAUAGCUCAGUUGGUAGAGCGCCUGCCUUGCACGCAGGAAGUCAGCGGUUCGAGUCCGCUUACCUCCACUCUCACUCAACCAAGCCAAAAAUUAACAUAGAUUAAGUAGAAAUCAGCACCUAGACCAGCCGAAAGCUAGUCAGAAUGCUGGAGUCACGACUCUAGUAAGAACCUUGAAAACUGCAUAGAAACAAAGUAAUCAUCAAACAGGUGAAGCAACUGAGAAAUCAGCAUGGGUCACCAAAGACCAUCAGUAAAAAAGGGCUAACGG
rnacentral:tRNA from 1 species